rnacentral:rRNA from 1 species
AUUGAACGCUGGCGGCAGGCUUAACACAUGCAAGUCGAGCGAGCGGCGGACGGGUGAGUAAUGUCUGGGAAACUGCCUGAUGGAGGGGGAUAACUACUGGAAACGGUAGCUAAUACCGCAUACCAUCAGAUGUGCCCAGAUGGGAUUAGCGAGUAGGUGGGGUAACGGCUCAACUAGGCGACGAUCCCUAGCUGGUCUGAGAGGAUGACCAGCCACACUGGAACUGAGACACGGUCCCGACUCCUACGGGAGGCAGCAGUAGGGAAUCUUCCGCAAUGGGCGAAAGCCUGACGGAGCAAUGCCGCGUGAGUGAUGAAGGUCUUCGGAUCGUAAAACACUUUUAUCAGGGAAGCGGUACCUAAUCAGAAAGCCACGGCUAACUCCGUGCCAGCAGCCGCGGUAAUAC